rnacentral:rRNA from 1 species
UACAGAGGUCUCAAGCGUUGUUCGGAUUCAUUGGACGUAAAGGGUGCGUAGGCGGCGCGGUAAGUCGGGUGUGAAAUCUCGGAGCUUAACUCCGAAACUGCAUUCGAUACUGCCGUGCUCGAGGACUGGAGAGGAGACUGGAAUUUACGGUGUAGCGGUGAAAUGCGUAGAUAUCGUAAGGAAGACCAGUGGCGAAGGCGGGUCUCUGGACAGUUCCUGACGCUGAGGCACGAAGGUCAGGGGAGCAAACGGG